rnacentral:snoRNA from 1 species
ACCUAGGAUGAUUGCAUCCGCUUGUUUGAGGUGGAACUGAGACCCUGUUUUCAGGGAGAACCCCUCGAUGAAGCUACAUUUCAUAUGACAUCAAUGGAUUUAACUGAGGU